rnacentral:rRNA from 1 species
AAUAGAUACCCGGGUAGUCCAUGCCGUAAACGAUGUCUACUAGCCGUUGGGGCCUUUGAGGCUUUAGUGGCGCAGCUAACGCGAUAAGUAGACCGCCUGGGGAGUACGGUCGCAAGACUAUAACUCAAAUGAAUUGACGGGGGCCCGCACAAGCGGUGGAGCAUGUGGUUUAAUUCGAUGCAACGCGAAGAACCUUACCUGGCCUUGACAUACUAAGAACUUUCCAGAGAUGGAUUGGUGCCUUCGGGAACUUAGAUACAGGUGCUGCAUGGCUGUCGUCAGCUCGUGUCGUGAGAUGUUGGGUUAAGUCCCGCAACGAGCGCAACCCUUUUCCUUAUUUGCCAGCGGGUAAUGCCGGGAACUUUAAGGAUACUGCCAGUGACAAACUGGAGGAAGGCGGGGACGACGGUCAAGUCAUCAUGGCCCUUACGGCCAGGGCUACACACGUGCUACAAUGGUCGGUACAAAGGGUUGCUACCUCGCGAGAGGAUGCUAAUCUCAAAAAGCCGAUCGUAGUCCGGAUCGCAGUCUGC